GUGGGGAAUCUUGCGCAAUGGGCGAAAGCCUGACGCAGCCAUGCCGCGUGAAUGAUGAAGGUCUUAGGAUUGUAAAAUUCUUUCACCGGGGACGAUAAUGACGGUACCCGGAGAAGAAGCUCCGGCUAACUUCGUGCCAGCAGCCGCGGUAAUACGAAGGGGGCUAGCGUUGCUCGGAAUUACUGGGCGUAAAGGGCGCGUAGGCGGACAGCUUAGUCAGAGGUGAACGCCCAGGGCUCAACCUUGGAAUUGCCUUUGAUACUGGCUGUCUUGAGUUUGGGAGAGGUGAGUGGAACUCCGAGUGUAGAGGUGAAAUUCGUAGAUAUUAGGAAGAACACCAGUGGCGAAGGCGACUCACUGGUCCGGUACUGACGCUGAGGUGCGAAAGCGUGGGGAGCAAACAGGAUUAGAUACCCUUGUAGUCC
rnacentral:rRNA from 1 species